UACAGAGGUCCCAAGCGUUGUUCGGAUUCACUGGGCGUAAAGGGCGCGUAGGCGGCUUGGUAAGUAGGGGGUGAAAUCUUGCGGCUCAACUGCAAGGCUGCCUCCUAAACUGCCUGGCUGGAGCACGGUAGAGGCAGAUGGAAUUCCCGGUGUAGUGGUGAAAUGCGUAGAUAUCGGGAGGAACACCAGUGGCGAAGGCGACUUCCUGGCCUGUUCUUGACGCUGAGGCGCGAAAGCUAGGGGAGCAAACGGG
rnacentral:rRNA from 1 species